rnacentral:lncRNA from 1 species
CUGGGAUCCCAGGAGAAGGGGCUGCCCGGAAAGGAGCUGGAAUCUCUGAGGAGGUGGACCUCAUCUGAUCAGUUGAAGUCUUGAAUAGAAUAAAAAGACUGACCCUCCCUUGAGUAAGAGGGAAUCUCGCCUGCCUGCCUUCAAACUGGGACAUUGGUUUUUUUCCUGCCUUUAGACUCAAACUGAUCAUUGGCUCUUUGUGGGAUUCACGCCUGGCAGCCUUUGGACUGGAAAUACACCAUCAGCUCUCCGGGUCUCCAGCUUGCCAGCCCACCCUGCAGAUCGUGGGACUUGUUGGCCUCCACAAUCAUGUGAACUAAUUCCUUAUAAUAAGUCUCUUUCUGUAUAUAUAUAUAUUUUUUAUUGGUUCUCUUUCUCUGGGGGAUCUUGAUUAAUUCGGAAGGUGAAAGGUGCAUCUGUUGGGUCUACUGCUUUCUCUGGCCAGCACACUGUGGUAGGCAGAAUUCUCAAAACAGCCCCCGAGGUCCACACCCUAAUCCUGAGAACCUGUGAAUGGGCUGAGAUCCCACUCCUGUGAUGCUCUGGUGCUAUGUGGCUCACUGGAUCUUAAAAUAGAGAGAUUGUCCAGGUGGCCCUAAUCUUAUCACAUAAACCCGGCUAAAGGCAGAGAGUUUUCUCUGGUUGGAAGUGUAGUGGAAGUCAGAGGAUUAGCGUGAGAGGGAGUCUAGAUGAGGGGUCUUGCCACAGGCUGUGAUGCUGUGAUGGGGCCUGGAAGGAAGCCUCUGGAAGGAACUGUGGAUGGCCCAUAGAAGUUGAGAGUGACUCCUGGCCAACAGUCAGGAGACAAAGACCUCAGUCCUACAACUGCAAGGGACUGAAUUCUGCCAAACCUGAGUGAGCUUGGAAGCAGAUUUUCCACACAGCCUGCAGAGGAGCACCCAGCCUGCUGACAUCUUGACUUCUGCCUGGAGAGACCCUAAGCGGAGAACCCAGGAGGACCCACCUGGACUUUGGACCUAUAGGAUUGGGAUAAUAAGUGGGUAUUGUUUUAAGAGCCAGUGGUAAUUUGUUACACAGAGUAGAAAACUGAUGCACAUAGACAAAGAGAUGUGGCUUCCUAUGGCAGCACUAGCAGAGAUUUAGGGGUGAGUCAUUGGUGUCAAGAGGCAGGCUGUAGGACGUCUGUUUCAGCUGGCAUAGACCUAGCAGGUAUAGUGACUCUGGAGCCAACAGUGCCAGUGGUGGCCUUCCUGUUUCCAGCUUUCCCAUUGUGGCAGAGGUUGGGGUUACUCUGGUAGGACAAUUCUACUGUGUUGUCCUUGGAUUCCAGGAGUGCCGUCUAGACUGUACUUAUCCAGCCCUUCUAAUGGUUUUGAGCACCCAAUUCCUCAUAUUAAAUCACUGCUUAAAUAUAAGAUACUCUGUUAUAUGCUACUGAACCUUGACUGUUAUAUCUUCAGAUCUCACCUACUUGUUAAAUACAAUCACAUCUGUCAGCUUAUUCAAAUCUCGGAAGCACUGACCACUCCUUACUUCCUGAAAAUCACUCUUCUUUUGUUUUUGAUGACAUCUCAUUCUCCUGGUUUCUCUUAUACAUUUCUUCUACUAAUUUUUAC